AGGGCACAUAAUGGAUGCCUAGACGUAUAUUACCGAUGAAGGACGUGGAAGACUGCGAUAAGCUUCGGGUAGCUGUCAACAAGCUUUGAUCCGGAGAUUUCCGAAUGGGGAAACCCAACACGAGUCAUGUCGUGUUACCCUUGUCUGAAUACAUAGGACAUGAGGCGGGAACCAUCUGAACUGAAACAUCUUAGUAGGAUGAGGAAAAGAAAGUAAAUAACGAUUACGAAAGUAGUGGCGAGCGAAAUCGUAAGAGCCCAAACCUUAUAGAUUUUUAUUUAUAUAAUAAAUAAGCUGAUAGGCGAAUAUCUAUGAGGGGUUGUGAUAUUACAUAUGACCAAGUCAGAGUAUUUGAUUAGUUCAAAUAAUCUGAUUUGCGAUAAUUGUCUAUCAACAAUUAGUAAGGUAAGAAAAUUGCGUGGUUAGCAGAAUAGUUUGAAUGACUAGCCAAAGAACGUGAAAGCCGUGUAAGUUAAAACGACGCUGACCUUAUGUAUGUUUUAUCGAGUAGGGCGGGGCACGAGAAACCCUGUCUGAAUCUGGCUGGACCACCAGCUAAGGCUAAAUAUAAUAUACGAUCGAUAGUGAACUAGUACAGCGAUGGAAAGGUGAAAAGAACCCCGGGAGGGGAGUGAAAUAGAUCCUGAAAUUAUGUGCCUACAAGGAGUCGGAGCAGAUUUAUUCUGUGACGGCGUGCUUUUUGUAGAACGAUCCAGCGAGUUAAUUUCGUGCGCAAGGUUAAGUUAGUUAACGGAGCCACAGUGAAAGCGAGCCUGAAUAGGGCGUUUAGUGUACGGAAUUAGACCCGAAACCGGGUGACCUAACCAUGAGCAGGUUGAAGCUACUGUAACAGGUAGUGAAGGACCGAACCAGGAUACGCAGCAAAGUGUUUGGAUGACUUGUGGUUAGCGGUGAAAUGCCAAUCGAACUCGGAGAUAGCUGGUUCUCCUCGAAAUAGCUUUAGGGCUAGCGUCAUGUUAGUAAUGUAUGGGGGUAGAGCUCUGUAAAGGAUUGGGGCGGGCAACUGUACCCACCCUUAACAAACUACGAAUACCGUAUAUGUAAUCAUGGCAGUUAGAACAUCGGUGCUAAGAUCGGUGCUCAAAAGGGAAACAGCCCAGACCAUCAUCUAAGGUCCCUAAAUAUACAUUAAGUGGGAAACAAGGUGAAAUUUCUUAAACAGCGAGGAUGUUGGCUUAGAAGCAGCCAUUCAUUUAAAGAGUGCGUAACAGCUCACUCGUCAAGAGAUUUUGCGUGGAAAAUGUAACGGGGCUAAAUGUAUUACCGAAGAUAUGGAUUAUUACAUUAGUAAUAGUGGUAGAGGAGCGUUCCUAUCAGCAGUGAAGCAGUAUUGAAAAGUAUUGUGGAGCGGUAGGAAGUGAGAAUGCUGGAAUGAGUAACCAUAAGAUAGGUGAGAAUCCUGUCGGCCGUAAGAGCAAGGUUUCCUGAGCUAUGGUAAUCAUCUCAGGGUUAGUCGGGCCUAAGCCGAGGCGCAGAGCGUAGGCGAUGGACAUCAGGUUAAUAUUCCUGAACCGGUUAAGUUUUGUACACUGUUCACGGGGAAGUAAUCGAAGCGGAUUCAUGGUUUAUCCGUCCAACCGAGCGGGAACGCAAAGGGAGUGAAAGUGAUUCUUCGGAGUCGCGAUUUUGGUGAAAGCCCUGGCUAGAAAAGCAGGUGUACGCGUGGACUUAGCCGCCCGUACCGCAAACCAACACAGGUGCUCGAGUCGAGUAGACUCAGGCUUACGAGCGAACCUUCGCUAAGGAACUCGGCAAUACAGCGACCGUAACUUCGGGAUAAGGUCUGCCCCCACUUCGGUGGAUAUCAGCCGCGUUCACUCAGUGAAUAAUAGGUUAAAGAGUACAUUUUUAAUCACAAAACGAAUUUUCUGAGACACGAGCAAACAAAUUGCUCUUUGAACGCGAACCUCUUGUAUCUAACGAUGUGGGGGCCGCAGCAAAAGAGCCCACGGAACUGUUUAUCAAAAACACAGGUCUCUGCUAACACGAAAGUGGAUGUAUAGGGGCUGACUCCUGCCCGGUGCCGGAAGGUUAAGGGGAGUGCUUCACGGUGCAAACUGAAGCCCCGGUGAACGGCGGCGGUAACUAUAACCGUCCUAAGGUAGCGAAAUUCCUUGUCAGGUAAGUUCUGACCCGCACGAAUGGAGUAAUCAUGUGGGCACUGUCUCAGCGAAGGACUCGGUGAAAGUGCAUUGGCGGUAAAGAUGCCGUCUGUCCGUACCAGGACGAAAAGACCCCAUGGAGCUUUACUACAGCUUUACAUUGAAUACGGUUUCAACAUGUGUAGCAUAGGUGGGAGAUAUUGAAGCAGAUACGCCAGUAUUUGUGGAGUCACCAAGUGAAAUACCACCCUUGUUGUGAUUGUGUUCUCACGCUGACCGUUAUCCGGUUAGCGGACCGUGUAUGGUGGGUAGUUUAACUGGGGCGGUUGCCUCCUAAAGAGUAGCGGAGGCGUUCA
rnacentral:rRNA from 1 species